rnacentral:rRNA from 1 species
GACGAACGCUGGCGGCGUGCUUAACACAUGCAAGUCGAGCGGUAAGGCCCUUUCGGGGGUACACGAGCGGCGAACGGGUGGGUAACACGUGGGUGACCUGCCCUCAGCUCUGGGAGUAAGCCUGGGAAACCGGGUCUAAUACCGGAUAUGACUCCAUGACGCAUGUUGUGGGGUGGAAAGCCUUGUGCGGCUGAGGAUGGGCCCGCGGCCUAUCAGCUUGUUGGUGGGGUGAUGGCCACCAAGGCGACGACGGUAGCCGGCCUGAGAGGGCGACCGGCCACACUGGGGACUGAGACACGGCCCAGGACUCCUACGGGAGGCAGCAGUGGGGAAUCUUGCGCAAUGGGGCGAAAGCCUGACGCAGCGACGCCGCGUGA